rnacentral:rRNA from 1 species
AGAGUUUGAUUCUGGCUCAGGAUGAACGCUAGCUACAGGCUUAACACAUGCAAGUCGAGGGGCAGCAUUGGAGUAGCAAUACUUCAGAUGGCGACCGGCGCACGGGUGAGUAACACGUAUCCAACCUGCCGCUUACUCGGGGAUAGCCUUUCGAAAGAAAGAUUAAUACCCGAUGGUAUAAAGAGUUCGCAUGUUCUCUUUAUUAAAGAAUUUCGGUAAGCGAUGGGGAUGCGUUCCAUUAGAUAGUUGGCGGGGUAACGGCCCACCAAGUCUACGAUGGAUAGGGGUUCUGAGAGGAAGGUCCCCCACAUUGGAACUGAGACACGGUCCAAACUCCUACGGGAGGCAGCAGUGAGGAAUAUUGGUCAAUGGACGAGAGUCUGAACCAGCCAAAGUAGCGUGAAGGAUGACUGCCCUAUGGGUUGUAAACUUCUUUUAUAAGGGAAUAAAGUGAGGGACGUGUCCCUUUUUGUAUGUACCUUAUGAAUAAGGAUCGGCUAACUCCGUGCCAGCCGCGGC